CGACAAGACACUCAAUAAAUACAAAGAGAGAAAAAUGGGAUGUGGUUUGAUGAGAUAGCUAUUCACCUAUCUGAUUGACUUGAAUGUACGCAGCUAUAUGUUUCUGUAGGCCCUUCAGCAAUUACCAAAAACCAAACGUAUAGUUGGUUAUUAAAAGCUCCAAACAUGACAAAUGCGAAACAAUACAUUCGAGAACACCAACGAC
rnacentral:lncRNA from 1 species